rnacentral:tRNA from 1 species
GGGAAGGUAGCUCAGUGGUAGAGCACUUGCCUUGCAUGCAUGAGACCCUGGGUUCAAUUCCUCAGCACCA